UACAGAGGUCUCAAGCGUUGUUCGGAUUCAUUGGGCGUAAAGGGUGUGUAGGUGGCGCGCUAAGUCGGGUGUGAAAUUUCGGAGCUUAACUCCGAAACUGCAUUCGAUACUGGCGUGCUUGAGGACUGGAGGGGGGACUGGAAUUCUCGGUGUAGCAGUGAAAUGCGUAGAUAUCGAGAGGAACACCAGUGGCGAAGGCGAGUCCCUGGACAACACCUGACACUGAGGCACGAAAGCUAGGGGAGCAAACAGG
rnacentral:rRNA from 1 species